rnacentral:ncRNA from 1 species
CAAAGAUUUACCAAAAACACAGCUCCCAGCCCUCUCAAUAUUGAAGGUGAUGCCUGCCCAAUGACUACAAGUUAAAUGGCCGCGGUAUUUACAACUGUGCAAAGGUAGCGUAAUCACUUGUUCCUUAAAUAAGGACCAAUAUGAAAGGCUAAACGA